ACACACAUGUGUGUGUUCCUGGUCGAUCAAAACACAGAGCCAAGAUGGAGCUCCUCUCAAACCCUAAACUCACAAAAAUUCAUCAAAAUCAAAGAGGAAUCGAGCUAAAAAUCGGUGCUUUAACUAAUUUCGUGAUCACCCAAGUUGGGAGAUCACAAGGCAAAUCGGGUGAAGUGUUAAGUGGUCAAGUUGGAACGGACGCGCGUUUGAAGGAUAAGCUAUAAGGUGGACACUAUAAACUUUUGGAUGAAAAUCAAGCAUCGUUGAAGAACCGAACACACACCUAAUCGAAGCUUCUGCGUCUAUGUUUGUUUAUUUUGAUGUUAUGACUUACGUAAACACUUAAAAGUAUAUUUUGGAUGUUUUAAAACUUAGGUGAUCAUCGUUAUUGUUGAUGUUUUUGUAAACUGGCAUUUUUAUAUAAAAAUGCAAACAUUAUAUGAUGAAGUAAAUUAUAAAUUUA